rnacentral:rRNA from 1 species
AUACGUAGGGAGCAAGCGUUGUCCGGAAUUACUGGGCGUAAAGGGAGCGUAGGCGGUAUUGUAAGUCUGAUGUGAAAGACAUCGGCUCAACCCAGGAGGUGCAUUUGAAACUGGAGAUCUUGAGUGCAGUAGAGGAAAGCGGAAUUCCCGGUGUAGCGGUGAAAUGCGUAGAUAUCAGGAGGAACCCCGGUGGAGAAGGCGGCUUACUGGGCUUUUCCUGACGCUGAGGCUCGAAGGGGUGGGGAGCAAACAGGAUUAGAUCCCCUGUUAGUCCCGGCUUUAAACGAGGAUGCCUAGGUGUGGGGGGACUGACCCCUUCCGUGCCGCAGUUAACACAAUAAGUAAUCCGCCUGGGGAGUACGGCCGCAAGGUUGAAACUCAAAUGAAUUGACGGGG